AUGGAUAUGAGAACAUCUGCUCAGCUUCGUGUGCUUCUGUUGCUCCAGAUUCCAGGUGCCAGAUGUGAUAUCCAGAUGACCCUGUCUCCAUCCUCCCUAUCUGCAUCACUGGGAGACAGAGUCUCUAUCACUUGCAAGGUCAGUCAGGGUAUUAACAAUUAUUUAAACUGGUUCCAGCAAAAACCAGGGAAAGCCCCUGAGCUCCUGAUCUAUGGUGCAAAUAGCUUAGAAGACGGAGUCCCAUCGAGGUUCAGUGGCAGUGGGUCUGGGACAGAUUAUCCUCUCACCAUUAGCAACCUGGAGUCUGAAGACAUUGUAUUUUAUUUCUGUCUGCAAGUUUAUGAUACCCCUCCCACAGAGAUACAAAUCAUAACAAAAACGUCAUUGAAAAAGAAGUGGGAGCCUGGGCUGCCCCAGCUGUAA